rnacentral:tRNA from 1 species
CAGGAUAUAGUUUAAAUAAAAUAUUAAUUUUGGGGAUUAAUGAUAAAUUAGUCUAUUUUGUCCUGA